UUUUUUCGUACAUAAUGAUUUCUUAAAUUCAGAAUUUCUAAAUAAACGUGACCUUCAGAUGUUAAAGUUGAAGAUGAACUCUUUGGGUUAAAGCACCACCUAAAGGCUCUCGUCAUGUGGUGAACGGUGUCAGUCACUCCGUCACGCGGGGUUAGACCCGGUGCUGCCAUGUUGCGGCAGUGCGGCGCAGCUGCGCGCCAUCAGGUCGGGUGCAGCAGCCUUUGGCAGAAGGACUUCACUUCCUCCACUCUUCCCUGCUCGGCUGCGUUCAGGCAAAGGUGCCGUGGCUGAGGGCGGGGGAAAAAAGAAAAUUAAAAAAUAGGAUGCCCAUUUGUACUAAACACACCGAGAGCAGCUGCGCGACGGGGGAUGUUGAAUAUGGAGCUGCCAGGCAGGAGUGAGGAAGACCACAGAGGAAGUUCAUGGAUGGAGCUGUCCCUGUAGGAGACAUUACAAGUACUGCACUCUCAAAGACUGAAUGAACCAGCAUUGCAGCCAUGGGUCACUGUGAGCAUCACAGGGAAGGUUGAAGCCGCCCACUGCACCUGUAUGGCCGCAGUCGCAGAGACCUGCAGCCAUGUCGCUGCUCUUCUGUUUAAAGUAGAAGCAACUGUGUUGAUCCGUGGCACAAGGACUGUUACAGAUGAACCUGCAUACUGGGUUCUGCUGGGUAAUAUGACCAAGAUACAGUCAGAGGUUGGCCAUAAGAUAGACUUCUCCUCUUCAGCUGCCCAAAAAAGUCUCUCAAUCAAAACAUAAACAGACCAUCCAUAGUGACAGGUAAAAGAAGCCGUCCCCAAAGAAAAAUCCCACCUGCUACUGUGGAGGAGUUGUCUCAACUGAUGGGAAAAUAUUUCUCCAAGCAUAGUUCUGUUCUGAAUAACCCAUAAUGUUGUAUUUAGAGGGUCUACAUUUGUGCCUGAAGUGCAUUGCCAUGUAAAUAAUUUGCAUUUACUGAAUAUGUACUUACUAAGUACCACUGUUCAAAAGUUGAAUAAAGGAACAAAUGUUUGCCUAUUUUUUAUUAAAACCACUUAGUAGAACAUCAAAUCAGUAACAAUGUAGAAUCAAUGUCACGGUUCUGAGUCAGCUUUUGAGUUCUUAUAUUUUGGUUUAUAUUUGCAUUAUGGAUUGUUUUUGGUUUCUCUGGUGCUUUGAUUAUUAUGAUAAAUCUAUGUUUUAGUUAUUCUGGUGAGGGAUUAGUUCUUAGGGUUGUGUCUCAUGUUUAGUGUAGGUUUAGUUCAGUGUCUAGUCUGUCUCUCUCUGUCUAGUCCUUGUCUUAGUGAAGUGUGUCUUGUUUCCUGUUUUACUUUGAAGGUUCAUGUUUAUGUGUGAUGUCAGCGUGUUCAGUUUUACUUCUCUCCCUGUCUCGUUAGCCCUUAUUAUUUCCAGCUGUGUUCCCCACCUGUGUGUAAUCUCCCUGUGUUCUUCUGUGUGUAUUUAAGUCAUGUCUUCUUGUGUUGUAGUCGCUGGUCCGUCUGUGAUUCUACCGUGUUUCAUUCCGUGUGUUCUCCCUGCUAUCUACCGUCUUAUGCCUUGGCUCAUGUGGGACUCAUGUAGUGGGUGGACACAGAUGAAAGUAUUGGAAUAGAUAUUGCCCCCCCCCCUCCAUAAUUUCAUGCAUUCUUAUCAUUGUUAUGUUAUGCAUUCAGUUCUUUAUUACUAUUUCUGACACAUACGGUGCUCACUGGCAAUCCAGCUACGAUAUUCUGAUCAAUGAUGAUUCCCAUGGGUGGUGCUCGCGCAGGCACUGAAUCGGGCAGCUUUGGGGUCCUGUGUGUUUUACUGCACAGAUAGCCUGCAGAGUGCAGCUACGCUAACUGAAGUGUUUGUGUGUUGUAUUUGCAGUUGCAAAUGAGCAAGUAAAAAGAACGAUUCUGAACUCAUGCACGCCUGGAAGUGUCAUUUGUCCAAGUGUGCAACAAAUAUUGGAGGCACCGCUGGGAUUAUUAACGUUGUGUCCAGCGUGAUGAAAAUAAGGAAGGGGCGUGGCUACAGCAACCACGAUGGACCUCGAGGAGCUGGCAGAGACUGUGUCCCAAACACUCUGGAACCUACAACUCGACCAACUCAAAGGGGUGUGUGCUGAAGCUAAAAUCCCUAGUGGAAAUGUCACAACAAGACGAGCGUUAAUAGAAUUAAUUACAGAAUCUAUGGACAAGGUUAUUAAUGAUGAAGAGCAGGAUGUUGCACUCUACUAUCUAAAGAAAAUGUUAGAAAGUGUCGACCCAGCGAUAGGGAGCACCAGAAACACAGAAAGUGGAGGAAAUACAACAAGCUCGCCACAGGGAACUCAGGAAACAAGGGAAGAAGUUAAUUUAGCAGAGAGAUACGCACAGCUCCAGAGAAACAGCGAAGCGCUGCAGGAAGAAAUUAGGAGGCUGAGUGAAAGGGUGGAGAGGACACCACCAAGUCAGCCAACCACCCCACAAAAUGUGUUUCCUGUCGCAGCCAACCGCCUUUCGGAAGUGACGAUAAGGAGGGAAUUCAAGAUCUGUGGUCAAAUUGGGGAGAAGGGCCAAAAGGACAGACUCUCAUACACCAACCUGAUGCAUCAGAUUGACAGAGGUCUGAACAAAGGACACAGUGAAGUGGAGGUUAUAGAGGCUGUGGUGAAGUCUGUCAGCCCAGGUUUGAGUCUUAGAGACAUGCUUGAGAUAAAACGUGACCUCACCCUCCCGCAAUUGAAGGCCAUAUUAAAGGGGCAUUUUA